rnacentral:rRNA from 1 species
GACGAACGCUGGCGGCGUGCUUAACACAUGCAAGCCGAACGGAAAGGCCCUGCUUUUGUGGGGUGCUCGAGUGGCGAACGGGUGAGUAACACGUGAGUAACCUGCCCUUGACUUUGGGAUAACUUCAGGAAACUGGGGCUAAUACCGGAUAGGAGCUCCUGCUGCGUGGUGGGGGUUGGAAAGUUUCGGCGGUUGGGGAUGGACUCGCGGCUUAUCAGCUUGUUGGUGGGGUAGUGGCUUACCAAGGCUUUGACGGGUAGCCGGCCUGAGAGGGUGACCGGCCACAUUGGGACUGAGAUACGGCCCAGACUCCUACGGGAGGCAGCAGUGGGGAAUAUUGCACAAUGGGCGGAAGCCUGAUGCAGCAACGCCGCGUGCGGGAUGACGGCCUUCGGGUUGUAAACCGCUUUCGCCUGUGACGAAGCGUGAGUGACGGUAAUGGGUAAAGAAGCACCGGCUAACUACGUG